GUGGGGAAUAUUGGACAAUGGGCGAAAGCCUGAUCCAGCCAUGCCGCGUGUGUGAAGAAGGUCUUCGGAUUGUAAAGCACUUUAAGUUGGGAGGAAGGGCAGUAAGUUAAUACCUUGCUGUUUUGACGUUACAGACAGAAUAAGCACCGGCUAACUUCGUGCCAGCAGCCGCGGUAAUACGAAGGGUGCAAGCGUUAAUCGGAAUUACUGGGCGUAAAGCGCGCGUAGGUGGUUUUGUAAGUUGGAGGUGAAAUCCCCGGGCUCAACCUGGGAACUGCCUCCAAAACUGCAUGACUAGAGUACGGUAGAGGGUAGUGGAAUUUCCUGUGUAGCGGUGAAAUGCGUAGAUAUAGGAAGGAACACCAGUGGCGAAGGCGACUACCUGGACUGAUACUGACACUGAGGUGCGAAAGCGUGGGGAGCAAACAGGAUUAGAUACCCGGGUAGUCC
rnacentral:rRNA from 1 species